AACAAGAUCCAACCCUUCAUAAACAUUUGAUAUGCCUGAGUUCUGCUAAAGCCAAAUUUGGUGGUGACUCUCCAGUUGAAGAUACAAACCCUCUGGCUUUGAAGUUAUAUGAGAUUGUGUUACCAGUGUUCUAGUUACUCUCCACAGAAAGUGUCACCGUUCAAGGCCCACCAUAGAGCUUUUAACUUGUUUAGCAUGGGGCCUUCUCUUAAGAAGGUUUACGGACGUGACGUACAAGGUGGUUAUAAAAGGAGUGACAUCAACGGUGGAGAAAGAAAUACUUAAUGGGAUUUCUGGUUCGGUGAAUCCUGGAGAAGUUUUGGCAUUGAUGGGGCCUUCGGGGUGUGGAAAGACUACACUUCUAAGUCUGCUCGGUGGCAGGGUGAGAGGGUCGACACCAGGAGGUUCAAUUACUUAUAAUGACUAGCCAUAUUCGAAGUUCCUAAAG